rnacentral:rRNA from 1 species
AGUGAACGCUGGCGGUAGGCCUAACACAUGCAAGUCGAACGGCAGCACAGUAAGAGCUUGCUCUUACGGGUGGCGAGUGGCGGACGGGUGAGGAAUACAUCGGAAUCUACUUUUUCGUGGGGGAUAACUUAGGGAAACUUACGCUAAUACCGCAUACGACCUACGGGUGAAAGCAGGGGAUCUUCGUACCUUGCGCGAUUGAAUGAGCCGAUGUCGGAUUAGCUAGUUGGCGGGGUAAAGGCCCACCAAGGCGACGAUCCGUAGCUGGUCUGAGAGGAUGAUCAGACACACUGGAACUGAGACACGGUCCAGACUCCUACGGGAGGCAGCAGUGGGGAAUAUUGGACAAUGGGCGCAAGCCUGAUCCAGACAUACCGCGUGGGUGAAGAAGGCCUUCGGGUUGUAAAGCCCUUUUGUUGGGAAAGAAAAGCAGCAGGUUAAUACCCCGCUGUUCUGACGGUACCCAAAGAAUAAGCACCGGCUAACUUCGUG